GGCUGCUCCUGCGGCAUGUGGAGGUUCCCAGGCUAGGGGUCUAAUUGGAGCUGUAGCCACAGGCCUACACCAUAGCCACAGCAACAUGGGAUCCGAGCCACGUCUGCAACCUAUACCACAACUCACGGCAACGCCAGAUCCUCAACCCCCUGAGCGAGGCCAGGGAUCGAACCCACAACCUCAUGGUUCCCAGUCGGAUUCGUUAACCACUGCGCCACGACGGGAACUCCUUUUUUAUUUUUUGCAUAUAUUCUUUUUCAUAUUAUUUUCCGCUACGGUUUAUUACAGGAUAUUGAGUAUAGUUCCCUGUGCUAUACAGUAGGACUCUGUUGUGUAUCCAUGUUAUAUAUUAUCUCAAACUCCUAAUAUCUCCCUCCCUCAUCCGCUUUCCCCUUUGGUUACUGUAAGUUUGUUUCCUGUCUGUGAAUUUGUUUCCGUUUGGUAAACAGGUUCAUUUGUGUCAUAUUUUAGAUCCUACAAAUAAGUGAUAUCAAUAGUAUUUGUCUUUCUCUUUCUGACUUACUCCACUUAGUAUGAUAAUGUCUAGGUCCACUCAUGUUGCUGCAAAUAUAUUAUGUGAUAUAUACAGAUAUAUUACAUCUUCUCUGUCCAGUCCCCUGUUGGUGGACAUGGAGGUUGCUUCCAUGUCUUGGCUAUUGUAAAUAGUGCUGCAGUGAACAUUGAGAUGCAUGUAUCAUUUCGAAUUAGCAUUUUCUGGAUAUAUGUCCAGGAGUGGGAUUGCUAGAUCCUAUGGCAAUGUUAUUUUUAGUGUUUUAAGGAACCCUCCGUCCUGUUCUCUAUAGUGGCCACACCAAUUUACAUUCCUGCCAGCAGUGUAGAAGGAUUGCCUUUUCUCCCCACCCUCUCCAGCAUUUGUUUGUAGACUUUUUAAUGACGUUAAGGAGAAUUUCUUUGGCCUGACCUCUCCAUCUUUCCCCUCCUCUAUCGCUGCACCUCUCAAGGCACUCAAGGCCCAACUUACCCCAGACUUCCUCCCUCCCGGAAGGGUCUCCUGACCUCUCCAGCCUCAUAGCCUGCUCGCACUGACCUCCAACCAGCCUGCUGCAAAGCUCUAGGCUCACAUUUAGGGCGUUCCUGCCUCCUGUCAGUCACCGAGGCUGGUAAGUGCUCCCACAUGCCCACUCCCUGAAAGACAGACGAGGCAACCCCAUUGAAAGGGAAGACACAGGCUCAGCGAGGUUCCGUAACGUCCCCCAGAUUACCUAGCUGGUUAGUGAAAUAACCGAGACUUAAAUUCAAGACUGACAACCGACCUCAAAACCUUUGCUCUAAACCAGGAGCCAGCAAACUAUACGGGCCUGAAGGCCAAAUUCUGCCACUAUCUGUUUUUCUACAGCUUGAGAGCUAAAAAUGGUUUUCACAUGACCGGGGGCGGGGGGGGGAUCAAAAGAAACAUAAGAUUUUGGCACAUGUGAAAAUCACAGGAAACUAACAUUUCAGUGUCCAUUAAUAACGUUUUAUUGGACAUGGUGGUGUGGUGGUUGUUUUCAUCAUGGCAUGCAGCAGCUUGAUAUGGGAUCUCAGUUCCCAGACCAGGGAUUGAACCCAGGCUGCAGCGGUAAAAGCACUGAGUCCUAACCACUAGACCACCAGGGAACUCCCUUAAUAAAGUUUUCUUGGCGCACACCAACACCCAUUCAUUUAGAUCUCUUUGAUGGCUUUUUCGUGAACUACAGUGGCAGAGCUGAGUCGUAGUGACAGGGACCAGCCUACAAGGGUUCCCAUUUGGCCCUUCACAGAAGACCUUUGCCGACCCCUGCUCCGAAAGGCACCAUUGAUGAGCCACAGCUCCACGGAGUUCUGAACACCCUGCCUGCCUUGACAGGCUGCUGUCUUUCUCUGGGUGCUGAGCCCACUGUAGGAUCUCAGAGGGAAAACAAAAUAGAUUUUAGCCCCCUUUGGACUUCCAGGUACUAAAGAUGUGCACCAGAAGUUCCCGUCGUGGCACAGCGGAAACGACCCCGACUAGGAACCGUGAGGUUGUGGGUUCGAUCCCUGGCCUUGUUCAAAAGGAGUAUGGGGGGCAGAGCACCAAGUUGAAUGGGGGGAGGGGCAGGAUGCAGAAAGUUGGGGUGGGGGGAGUAGCUGCUCCUGGGUCAGGGCUCAGAGGAAGUUCCUGGGCCAUAGCUUCCUUCCUGUGGCAGGGACCCCUGCUCUGGGCACCCGUUCCCUUGUGGGCCAUCGCCUGGCCAGGAGGGUAGGGGUAGGGGGCGUGGUGAGGCACAGCUUUGUGGGGCCAACAUGGCAGGUAAUAGAAAAGUAUGAGGAUGGACAAGGAAUGGGGAACACAAGAGACACAGCGGCAGGGCCAGAGGAAAGGGACACCCAGAACAGUCCUGACUGAGGGUUCUGGGGAAGGUAGGUCCUGCCCUUUAGGUGGACCGAACCUGGGAGGCCCAGCACAAUCUGCCCUCCCACCCCACACAUCAGUUCUCAGUUUAUUCCCCACAGAACCCGAGACAAGGUCCAGGCAGCUAGAGCUUAGCCUGGCUCUGUACCCCUGUCUGGGUGACCUUGGGCAAGUCUCUGUCCCUCUCUGGGCUUUAGUUUCCUCUUCUGUCCAUCAUCUAGAGAGGAAUUGAUUUCUAUGGACCCACUCCUGUUCCAGCUUGGCCCAUGGAAGCCUCCUGGUUCCCUGGGGCUCAGAAACUUUAGUGUUUACCUCCAGGAUCAAGUUCCAAUUUGAGUGGUCAGGAACCUUCUGGAUCUGGUACCAACCUACCUACUCAAGCCUCAUCUUUCCCUCUUUGCAACAGUCCAGGAGCCUAGAUCCUCCCCGGCCCUUGGGUCUGUGUGCCAGCCUCUUCCCCUCUCUCCAUGAAGUGCCCCCACUUGAGGAACCAGCCCCUCCUGCAGGGCUGGCUUUAUGGACACGUGACCCAUGCAGUUAGCCAAGGCCCCGUGCUUAGAAAGACCCUGGGCUUGGUUUCAUACUUCAGGGGCCAUCCUGUAAUUAAAAAGUUUAGGGGCACGAUCUUUAAGGUAUUAGCCUGCUAAAACAAUAAAGGUAUCUUUUUUAUAUUUACCCCCCCAAAAAAAAUUUGAACAAGGGGCCCUAAAUUUCCAAUUUGUGCUGGGCUCCCCAAAUUAUGCCCCAGACCUGCCUUCCUCCCCUUUCAUCACUCCCUCCUUAGCCCCACCUCCCUGUGACCAGAACUGGCAGCCCAUGUGACAGAAGCAGAGACCUUCUGGACAUCAGAGGCCCAGGCCUGAUGUCACCUGAGGAAAAUGGCUCAGGGACUGCCAGGGGAUGUGGAGAACAGAAGAGGCAGAGACCCUGACUGUGUCUUAGAAGGAAAGCUGGCUUCUGUUCCUAAAGUCCCUGAGUCUGAUGAGGAGACAAAGCAACUGGCCCGGGAAGGUCCCAGUCUCCUGAGGGCACAGUUGUGGUGGGAGAAAUCGAAUCUCAAUUUCCUCCUCUCUUUGACCCUUGCUGAGACAAUGAGAGGAGAGGUGGCUCCUUCUGGAGCUGGAGAAGUACAAGCCGGGGACCCCCUCUGCCCCUAAUCCUUAACCUGCAGAGCUCUUGCUCCGAAAGCAUCUCUUCAAGCAUCUCCAAAGAUGCUGCCUACCUACACAUCUCAGUAAGGGACCUGAGGUAGUGGCUUCCCUCCUGGCAAAUGGCCUCACCGGCUAGAGUGGACAGGCCCCUCUGGCGGCAGCCCCUGCAGCCCCCUUCUGGUCAGGGGCCUGGCUAAGGCUGCCUUCCCUUCUCUCUGCUCCCUGGCCCUGAGGGUGUGUGGUCUGGCCUCCCUGGGGCCUGGUGAGUCAGGCCCCACACCCACUCUGGAGCCACAAAGCAGAGCAGUGGCCUGAGCCUCUGCUCACCUGGAGGAGCCUGAUAGUCCUGUAUGCCGGGGCUGAGAUCCUGCUGAGACCCCAGGGCAAUGACUUUGGGCCAGUCCUAGGCCCCAGGAACGGGAGGAGGGGAAGUGGGAGGGGUGGCUGGCCUGUCCCCACUGGCUUCUGGCUUUCCCUGGCAGCACCUUCGUUAACCACAGCCUUGCCCACAGCACUGCCUGCGUCUGGGCCUCUGCUAACGGACCCACCAACUCCAGUCAUCACUGAAGAUCUGACUUCAGCGUCUCCGCCUCCAGGAAGACUUCCUUCAGCUUCAGGGUGUCUCAAGUGUCCCCCUGGCCUUUCCCAUGCUGCUCCCUUGGGAAGCACUCGCCCAUGUGUGCCUCUGGCCCCAUCAGCUCGGGUCUUUCUGAGGGCAAGUCUGUGUCGUCUGUGUCCUUGACCCCUGGCAGGUCUGCCGCUGUGAAUGAAGCUCUCAGGUGUGGUGGGACAGCCAGCCUGGGGCAGGUGGGAGGGGGGACAAGUCGGGGUUUCUUCCCUUCAGACCUGGGCAGAGUGUCUCCCAUCUGCCAUAAGAAUUAGAGCUGCUCAUGUGAACCCACAUACCUGCAGAGUCGUAGUCACAGGUGACGAAGCUGGGGCUCAUCGGGACAAAGUGGCUCCAAUCACAACUGGCCACUAAGGUCUGCCUCCGGGGGCUGCUUUGUCUGAGACUCAGCUGCCCGGCCCAGGUAUGCUCUGCUCUGAGGCAGGGGACUGAACAAGCUGACCUCUCAUGGGCCUCCAGGUCAGGAUGGGAGCCUUCCAGUGACACAAGCUGAGGCUCCAACCAGGUCUCGGCCCCCUGACCUGCUCACCCACAAGGCAAGUGCCAGCCCUCCCACCAGCCCAACUGGCUCCCAGUUCAGCUGCAGAAACGGCCAAACGUCUCUCUGGAACCCAAACAGGAAGCUGGGGAGAAGGGGGCCAACGGCCGGGACCUCUGAGGCUCCUCCAGGAAACAUGUGGGGAGGGAGAUGGGUGGCCGGGGCAAGGUCAGGCCUGCUCACCCCAUAACCCCCACCCCAGGAGCCCCCCGCAAGCACUGAGAAUCCCCACCUCAUCUCCCUGCUGGCAGGGGACCUGGGAGGGCCUGGGGAAAACAGUUGUCCUCUUACAGAAGACGCUAGGGGGAGGGUUAGCUUUCAGAACCAUCACUCCCGGGUGAAUUUUUUUCCAUAUAUUUUAUUUUUUGCUUUUUUAGGGCCGCACCUGUGGCAUAGGGAAGUUCCCAAGCUAGGGGUUGAAUCAGAGCUACAGCUGCCAGCCUACAACACAGCCACAGCAACUCGGGAUCCUUAACACACUGAGUGAGGCCAGGGAUGUAACCCACGUCCUCAUGGAUCCUAGUUGGGUUCAUUACCGCUGAGCCAUGAUGGGAACUCUCCAUAGAUUUUAUUUUUUUGUAUUAUUUAUUUAUUUCCUGGCCGUCCCCUUGACACAUGGAAGUUCCCAGGCCGGGGAUCAAACCCACGCCACAGCAGUGACCAAGCCACUGCAGUGACAACACCAGAUCCUUAACCCACGGCGCCACAAGGGAAUCUUCCUUUUUUUUUUUUUUUUUUUUAAGAACAGUUUUAGAUUCAUAGCGAAACUGAGCGGCAAAUACAGAGUACCCAUAUACCCCCUGCCCCACACACGCCUAGACUCCCCCACGAUCAACAUCCCCACCCAGCGUGGUACGUUUUUUUUCCAAUUGAUGAACCUACAUGAAGCAUCAUUAUCACCCAAGGCCCAUUAGGGUUCACUGUUGGUGUUGGACAUUCCAUGGGUUUGGACAAAUGUAUGAUGACAGGUAUCCAACGUUAGAGGAUUAUCCAGACUAUUGUCACUACCCUAAAAGUCCUCUGAGCUCUGCCUCUGUGCUCACCCUACUCCCCAGCCCAGCCCUGGCAACCUUUAAUCUUUGUACUGCCUGCAGAGUUUGACCAUUUCCAGAAUGUCAUAGUUGGAAUCAUAGAGUCCGUAGCCUUUUUUCAGAUGGGCUUCUUUCACUUAGUAACACGCAGUGCAUUUCCUCCCUGUCUUUUUAUAGUUUGUUGUUCAUUCACUUUAGCACUGAAUAAUAUCCCAUUGUCUGGAUGUAUCGGAGUUUAUGUCUCCAUUUACCUACUGAAGAACAUCUUGGCUGCUUUCAGGUUGUGGCAGUUGCCAAUAAAGCUGCUAUAAGCAUCUGUGUGCAGGUUUUUCUGUCGACAUACGUGUUCAACUCAUUUAGGUAAAUAUCAAGAUCGUGAUUGCUAGAUUAUAAAUAGCACGUUUAAUUUAAGAAAAAAAAAGAAAAAAAA
rnacentral:lncRNA from 1 species